UAUCCACUUAGCCAGUUAGCCCCUCCAAUUUUAGAAGAAAAGCUUCUGCUCGUUCGUGACGAAUUCUUGGUUGGUGUGAUGAUGGCAGAUUGAGAAUUAAAAUUGCGAAAAAAAGGGGAAUAUAUUAGAAGCUUCAAUGGACGACGGUGUCGUCUACUUGCUGGUGUUAGUGUAACUGGUUACAAAGCAAUACUAUUAUUUCUAAAUUUUGCUGCACGGUUGAAUUUCUACUGACUUUCCGCUUGCACAUUACCUUAAUUAGCAGAGACGACAAAAUUUCGUGGAAGAAAUCGAUUAAUCGUGCAGUAUUCUUGUAUUAAUAUCUGAAUUUAACAUGGGUUUUGCGGCAUGUGAUGUCUUUUCUUAUUCCACUCAAACAUCUCCAUUAAGCAAUACUAUUAGAAGAAUCCAUCAGUACCCUUUAAAUGGUGCUUUUUCAUUGCAAAAAGUUACCAUUUUUGGGUACCGUGAAUUGGGUUUUAAGCCAUUAUUAGCUGUGAGUAAUGUAGCAGUUGAGAAUGGUAGUGCUGAAAACCAAGCUAAUGAUAAACCCAGGUAUAGGUGGGUUAAGAUUGGCUCUGAUAUUACUGAGGAACAGAAACAAGCUAUUUUGAAGUUUCCACCAAAGAUGCCAAAUAGAUGUAAGGCAUUAAUGCAACAGAUCAUUUGCUAUUCACCUGAAAAGGGUAGUGUGUCACUCUUGUUAGAGGCUUGGGUGAAGAGUAUGAAGCCCGAGAGAGCUGAUUGGCUUGAGGUACUUAAAGAAUUGGACAGGCUGAAUCAUCCCUUGUAUUUUGAGGUAGCUGAAGUGUCCCUCUUAGAAGAAUCAUUUGAAGCCAAUGUUCGUGAUUACACCAAGAUAAUUCAUGGCCAUGCAAAGCAGGAUCGGCCGAGAGAAGCUGAAAGUAUGCUCUUAGCCAUGAAGACUAGAGGCUUCACAUGUGAUCAGGUGGUUCUCACGGCUUUAGUUCACAUGUAUAGCAAGGCUGGUAACCUUAAGAUGGCUGAAGAUACUUUUGAAGAGAUGAGGUUGCUUGGAGUAACAUUAGAUAAGAGAUCCUACGGGUCAAUGAUCAUGGCGUACGUCAGAGCUGGAAUGCUUGGCGAGGGAGAGGCUUUACUAAAGGAAAUGGAAGAACAAGAGAUCUAUGCUGGAAGAGAAGUUUAUAAAGCAAUUCUUAGAGCCUAUUCGAUGAUUGGUGAUAGCAAAGGAGCUCAAAGGGUCUUUGAUGCUCUUCAGUUGGCAGGAAUAAUCCCUGAUGCGACCUUCUGUGGGCUGCUGAUGAAUGCCUAUGUUGUGGCUGGUCAAUNUUGUGGCUGGUCAACUGAGCGAGGCUUGUAUUGCGUUUGAAAAUUUGAGAAGAGCUGGCAUAGAACCUAAUGACAAGUGUAUCGCACUGCUGUUGUCAGCUUAUGAAACCGAAAACAACCUGGGCAAGGCACUUGAUGUUUUGAUGAAUUUGGAGAGGGAUGGUAUUGUGCUUGGUAGAGAAGCUUCAGAAAUAUUGGCUCGUUGGUUCAAGAAACUUGGGGUAGUUGGAGAAGUGGAGCUUGUGUUGAGAGAAUUUAUGCAUCAAACUUAGUGAAUUAAGAAUACUGAUGCUUUGAAGUUUCUCUCCGUUGCAUCUGUUUGAGAACCAGUCUUGGUCUCCUAUCUACAGGUAUCUUCACACUUUGCUGUAAGUCGAUACAACAUACUGCCCAGGAAAGUAUCACAAGUUACAGCUGUUUGCAUCAACAAAACAAGCAGAGAGUAUGUUUUUCAUAUUUCUGGUAAGAGGUUGAGGGCAAUAAGCAGCUUUUCAUGUAUGUAAACAACUCUCAAAUACUGGAAUCUGUCUCCUGAGUCUUUCGGCAACAGGAGCAACAGUACGGUUGGCUGAAACAACGGUGUACAUAUAGGUCAUGGCUUUGUCCCAAGUGUUGGUUGAUCAUCUUCUUUCAGCUUCAGUGUUUAGUCAUGUGAAACCUUUCCUUGAGUUGGUUCAUCCUGAGUUGUAACCCUUAUUUUUGUUGAACCUAAGCCAUUGACAAAAAUCCAAGUGUUUGAUUAGAGAAACAAGAUUAAGAAAAGUAUGUGUACUUCAGAUCUGGAAACAUACAACGAAUGCCAAAAUCUGCCAUUUUGAUUA